rnacentral:rRNA from 1 species
GACGUAGGAGGCGAGCGUUGUCCGGAUUCAUUGGGCGUAAAGAGCACGCAGGCGGUUUGGCAAGUCGGAUGUGAAAACCCGAAGCUCAACUUCGGGCCUGCAUCCGAAACUGCCCGACUAGAGGUAGGUAGGGGAGAUCGGAAUUCCUGGUGUAGCGGUGAAAUGCGUAGAUAUCAAGAGGAACACCUGAGGUGAAGACGGGUUGCUGGGCCGACACUGACGCUGAGUGCGCGAAAGCCAGGGGAGCAAACGGG